rnacentral:tRNA from 1 species
GGAUGUAGCUCAGUGGUAGAGCACUCGCCUAGUAUGCAUGAACUCUCCUGGGUUCAAUCCCCGGUAGCACA